GCUCCGAGCGGAGCAUAUAAAGCGCCGAGUCAUUAUACAAAGAGCAUACUCACUCUGUUUUGCCGCGGCGCACGACAAUACGCCGCGCCGAGAGGCCCGAGGUUCGAGCCUCGGCAGACCGCUUCGCGAGAAACGAUCCGUACUUUACUUUUACUCAUCCUCGUCACGCUGCUACCGUUGCACGGUGCACACGCUUGCAUUACGAGCGGAAUGCUGCUGAGGACGCCUCGUGAUUGGAAAAUGGCGGUGCUGGAGGAUGGUGCAAUUGCGGUGUCCUCGACGGUGCAACGACUGUGCUCUCCGCGGUGCUAGCGAGAAAUGACUACAAUCGAAGGAGUUCUAAUCAUUACAAUUGCGAAGAUAACGAUGCGGCCACGGAUUAUGGGAAAUAUAAGGAUUGAUUGUGUGAAGCUUGAGCAGGAUUUUAAGAAAUCCUUGGACCAGAUCGUGCCGGUGUCAGUAUCCCAUCCGCUCGUCUCCGAUCCCGAACGUCUGACGGACAACGGUGGAAGGAUCAAAGGGUGACAGCGAGCCUUUCGAAGGUCGACCUCGAUACCUCGGGAUCCCGUGGUGCGCUGGGAUGUCCCCGGGAGGACGCGGUCCCCCUUUUCACGUCGACAAACACGGGAUCGUGACUCAGCAGCGAAAUAGAAUCUCCGGAGACUCAUGCUUUCCGCCCCGAACGGAUCCGCUGCCAACACCUCGACGCAGAAUACAUGCGAAAAUAGCCGGGGACACCGUACGCUGCAUCAGGAAACACCGAGGAACGAAAUUCCACCGUGAACCGUAUCGAAUUCUGCCGACGAAUACCGCGUUUCACGAGUUUGUAAAUAUUUCGAAUAUUCUCGAAAUUGCAGAUCGAUCGGUCCCCGAAGACGCGAGCCCGUGUCAGCGACAAAAUAUUUUGAUUCUCGUUCGUGAUCGAUCCCCGGAAUCCCGUCGCUGCUCCGAAAUAUUUUGAUCUCUGUUCGCGAUCGAUCUUAGAACACAGAGCAUAGUCCAUCAGAGAUUCAUAGUCUACGAAGGCUUCCGGUGAAAAUUGAAUGUUCUAUAGAAUCUUCAUGCAGUUCGACAGCUGACUGGAUUUCUCGUAUUAGGUGACGGUUCGAACCUUUCACUGUGAACUUCGAACCUUUUCGCUUCAUUUUGAAAAAUAAAAGAGAAAGGAAAAUUUAUAAAUGUUCCUUAAGACUUGUGGAGUGAUCAGUGUAGCGUACAGUUUAUUUCGAGUUUAUUCUCUAGCGAGGAAAACUUGCUGAAGACUGCUAUGAAUUUAAUAGAUUUGGUCAUAGACAGAUUGUCAGCUACUCCAGGACUUUCUAACCUUUUGCACUCGUGUGGAAACUGUACGGCAUCAUUGGUAAUGAGCUAUAUCGUGUUUCAAAAUCAUGUUUACGCUAUUAAAUUCCGUUAUAUUUUUAAUAAUGUAAUAAACUCGACACAUUCAGACAAAACCUCC